rnacentral:tRNA from 1 species
GGCCGUAGCUCAGUGGUAGAGCACUUGCCUAGCACGUGUGAGGCACUGGGUUUGAUCCUCAGCACCA